UGAGACAGGUGCUGCAUGGCUGUCGUCAGCUCGUGUUGUGAAAUGUUGGGUUAAGUCCCGCAACGAGCGCAACCCUUAUCCUUUGUUGCCAGCGAUUAGGUCGGGAACUCAAAGGAGACUGCCAGUGAUAAACUGGAGGAAGGUGGGGAUGACGUCAAGUCAUCAUGGCCCUUACGAGUAGGGCUACACACGUGCUACAAUGGCAUAUACAAAGAGAAGCGACCU
rnacentral:rRNA from 1 species